AGUGUUUGGUAGGAGGUUAAUAAAAAAAAAAAAUUAGGAAUUGUUUGGUAUAGAGUUAAAAAAAUUGUGCGGUAGCAUUUAGCACAAGAUUAACAAGGGGUAAUUAUUACCUUUGUAACUUUUAACUUCUCAGUAAUUUUGUUUGGGAUUCAUAAGAGCAUAAGUUAACUUUUGAACUCCUUAGGGGUUAACUAUUAAUCUUGGGAGACUAAGUUAUUAAAGCUUAUAAAUGAACACUAUGCUUCAUUUAAGCUUUUUAUUAACCUCCUACUAAACACCAUUAAUUGUUAUGCUAUUAAUUAUUUUUUAUUCCUUAACAAUUACCCCUUUAAGAUUUACAAAAGUAUUUGUAUAAGGUUAAAAGCUUGAAUGUUAAGUAUUACUCCUGUAAUUUUAAAGGGGUAAUUGUUAAGGGAUUAAAAAAUAAUUAAUGGUGUAAUAGUUAAU
rnacentral:misc_RNA from 1 species